UCCCUGAUAGCUCAGUCAGUAAAGAAUCUGCCUGCAAUGCAGGAGAUCCUGGUUUGAUUCCUGGGUUGGGAA
rnacentral:tRNA from 1 species